CCCGAGGGGGCCUGGGGUCCGGACCGCUCUCCUCUCCGCCCCGGGGCCCGGACCUCCGCCUUCCACCCCGGGGCUCGGAGGCCGCCGGGAGCGUCCGCCCGCCGUGUCGGCGGAGGGGCCGCCGGGCCUCCGACCCCGCCUCCCGGGACCCGCCGGCUCCUCAGACCCAGUUCCGGUCCCCAGCCUUACAGACGGGAGGAUCUCCGCCCGCCGGGAUUUCGGGGCGACCGGCGCCUACACCCUCUCCCCUCUCUUUCCUCCCGGAGGACCCUCCGGUCUCGUCUCCCGUCCCCGCCUCCUCCCUCUCGGCCCCUCUGCCUGCGUUACGGCCUCCUCCCGAGGAUCGGGCCGGGGGGGGGGCGCGUGCCCCCAUCCGGCCCGGCCCGCGGCCGCCUUCCCCCCGGCCCCGCCCCGGGGCGGGGAGUCCCCGGGGGUUCCCCCGGCGGCCCCUUCCUCCCCGGCCUCCUGUCUUCUCUACUACGUCGACCCGGGACCGGCCCCUUCGCCUGCAGCGUCGUGACUGGGGAGAGGAAGGAAGUCCCCGGGGAGCGGCCUCUCCUUUCCCCCGCCGCCCCCGGCCCCCUCCGCCCCCCCGCCGGAGUCGCCGCGGGAGCGGGCGGCGAUUCCUGGAAAGGGAAGCUCGACCCCCACCCGGUUCUUGACGGUGGGAGAGGCUCCCUCGCUCCGGGGAUGAUCGACUCCUUCCGCUGCCCCCCGGGGGGGCGGGAAGGCGCGGUCCGUUACCGUUUCAGCGAAUCACGAUCACGUGUAUUUAUUGCUGUGAGAAAGUUGGGGGGUGGGGCGGGGGGCGGUCAUGAAUCAUGUGUGCCUGGGGCGGGAGUUGCGGGGGGGAACCGGGAAGGGACCCCAUUUUUGGGUUGUCUCAGUCGGGGCGGGGCGGGGGCAAGAAGGUGGGGUGGGGGGCGGCGCUGGGAUUUUUUUUUUUUUUUUAAAACCUCCCUCCUUGGCCCUUCCGAGCUCUCCUCCCGUGCUAGGUUUUGA
rnacentral:lncRNA from 1 species